rnacentral:rRNA from 1 species
GACGAACGCUGGCGGCGUGCUUAACACAUGCAAGUCGAACGAUGAAGAAGAGAAACGCGAACUUCGGUUCAAAUUUCACUUCGGAUUAGUGGCAGACGGGUGAGUAACGCGUGAGCAACCUACCUCUUACAAAGGGAUAGCCUCGGGAAACCGUGAUUAAUACCAUAUGACACAUUCAUAAGGCAUCUUAAGAAUGUUAAAGCUACGGCGGUAAGAGAUGGGCUCGCGUCCCAUUAGCUAGUUGGUGAGGUAACGGCCCACCAAGGCGACGAUGGGUAACCGGCCUGAGAGGGUGAACGGUCACAUUGGAACUGAGACACGGUCCAAACUCCUACGGAAGGCAGCAGUGGGGAAUAUUGCACAAUGGAGGGAACUCUGAUGCAGCGACGCCGCGUGAGCGAUGAAGGAAUUCGUUUCGUAAAGCUCUGUUCUAUGGGAAGAAAAGGACUGUACCAUAGGAGAAAGCCCCGGCUAAAUACGUG